rnacentral:rRNA from 1 species
UACGGGGGGGGCAAGCGUUGUUCGGAAUUACUGGGCGUAAAGGGUCCGUAGGUGGCUUGCUAAGUCAGACGUGAAAUCCCUCGGCUUAACCGGGGAACUGCGUCUGAGACUGGCGAGCUUGAGUGCAGGAGAGGAACGCGGAAUUCCAGGUGUAGCGGUGAAAUGCGUAGAUAUCUGGAGGAACACCGGUGGCGAAGGCGGCGUUCUGGACUGUAACUGACACUGAAAGACGAAAGCCAGGGGAGCAAACGGG